ACAUAAUAUGACAAUAUGUGAUUAAUUAUAAUAUAGACUCAAGUCUAAUUCCUACGUUAAAGUCUGAUUUUCUGUGAUAUUUUGUUAGAAUUAGAUCUACUGGACAUAGUCAGUCUUGCAUACAAAAAUUACGCAAAGCUAUGCUUAAGACACAAAUUUAUUCGAUUAGCUCUUAGUCAAAACCCGACAACUUGCCUCUUAAUUAGGUUUAAAUUAGGAACCGGUGAUGUUUUUGACAGCUAUAUAAGCAAUUCUUAACCACCUCUUAAGAAUUGCUUAACCACCGCUCGCUUAAACAAGUUUAUAAGUAGGACUAAAUGUUUUCUGUCAAACAACAAUUGAAAAAUGUUUAUUUUUUUAUUUAUGUAAUCUGUUGAUUUUUAACUCAAAAGAUCCGGCUUAACGUUUCAUGGUCAGUCUUGAAUAAUAUUGCGUAGCAAAGUGUUUAUCUAGUUGUAUGUCAUAAAAAUAUUAUAUUUUGAUUAUAUUCUUUUUAGGUCAUAAAAAUAUUGAAUAGAGAUAACAAUGUACGUCAUCAUUUAGUCAACGUAUAAGAGAUAUGUUUUUUCAAUUUACUUUCAAUAUACUAACACUAUCUAAAAAUUAUGUUAUCUACCUAUUAUUUAUUUACAAAUUACUUAAAUGAACCCACGAUAAUUAAGAGGAUGGAAGUAAAUAUUCUUCACGUAUUACUAUUUGUGAUUAAAUAACUAGAUUAAUAUCAUAAUUUGGCAGCGAGGCGCGCAACAAACGCACUCAGCAGUCAUCACUAACCAACAAACGGGGCACCGUUAGUUGGUAAGGCAUUACUUACUCCUUUCUUCUAUAUAGAGUAUAUAUUAUUAAUAACAAUGCAUAAUAAGUUCUUGUUGCAUAUUUGUUUCAGAACAUGCGGAUAAAAAUAAAAUAUUAAUUUCUAUAUUAGGUUACCUAAAUUAUUGAUCUUUGUUCCUGUUUACACAUGUCCUGCGUAUCGACACGGUUUUUCUGACCCUUAUUGUGUUUACAGGGUUCAGGAAAUAAAUAUUCAAUGUGAAACGUAUUAUGUAGUUCUAGGUCAUUGCUUUAAUUUAAUUACGUGUUCGAGUGUCUUCUUUGUGACAUCAUCAAUGAAAAUUUCGCAUUAAAUGUAAACAUUGUUAAUAUGUUUUGGUACGAGUCCAAAACUAAAAUGUUAAUAACAAUACAAAAUAUUCUGUAAAACAAGUUAACGGAGUACGUGACUCUUUUAAAUCAUUUAAAAGAUAAACGUCGACAGGAAAUCAUAUUUUUUUAGAAUCGCUUGAAGAUUUAUUGUUGUAGUCAUAUUGCGCUUUAAAUUAUCAAAUCGGUAUUUGGUCUUUGUUUUCUAUUGAUAUUUAUGUUAGGUAUUUCUUUAUUAAUCGUCAAUUCCUCUAUAAACUGGGGGCUUUAAAGAAUAUAAUUAUGAUAGAGACAAUUAUAAAUAGAGAGAACUUAAAAACCUAUCAGAAUAUAGGACAUCGACAUAAUUUAAUACGUCGAUAAGGUCUGUAGUCCGUACAAUAUUAAUCCAUUUACAUAAAUUUAAAACAUUUGUUAAUUUCCGUAAAUUACACCUUUUUGUUAUAUUGCAUGUUAUCAACACGUGUUAAUAAUUGCUGCUCAAAUGCGUACAGAUCACUUUCACUGCGCGUGCGCACGGAAUGCUGACUUGACGUUUAUUGUUUGACAGUUUUUGUGUCAAACGGCCACACAUCAAUGGUGUGACUGAUUCAUGGCAGGUUCAAGUAUUGUUUACCUAUUAUUUUUACUGCGAUAGACAGAAAAUGUUAUGAAUUAGGUUAUAUACUUAAAAUACUAUGUUAACUAUACUAUAGAAUGUUAUAGAACUUAUGUUUUAAAUCAUAAUAUGGUAGUAUUAUCACUCAUACCAUGACUUUGCUAGCAUUAGGAACCCCUAAUGGUAUAUAUAAUUGGUUACUAUUUAUAAUUAUUGAGAUAUUCAAGAAUACAUUUUCAUGUUAUAUAGCCUGUUACAUCCUACGACCACCACUUGUCUUAUUUAAACGAUUCAUCAUUAUUGUUAGCAAUAAUCGUACGCAAUUAUUGAACUCCUGAAAAUAUGAAAUGGCGAGGCAAUACUCGCCCGCAUUGAAGUGCAUAAACCUUUUGACUCAUAUUUCAAUGACGAUUAAAUGAGGCUUAAGAUCCUUUAAAUUAAAAUUUACAAAGUUUUAGGUUAAAUUAAACCACUUUAUCACACUUAAAAGUAUGCGCCAAAAGAAUAGCCUCACAUAUACGGUAAAAUGUAUAUUUAUAUACUUACUUACGUGAAAAUCAUUACGUUACUUUUAUGUACUUAGUUGAAAAUAAAAUAUAAUAGUCAUCAAAAUACAUUAUGACGUGAAAGAUAUAAAUCACCUUGUCAACAAAUAAUUUAGAGAUAUCGUUAAACCAUCUUUGCAUUAUCACGAAGAUCAGUAAAGCAAAUCUCCAGGUUUUCUUUGUUGAAAGUUCAGGCGCGUAAAACGCACUGCGCAUGAGUCAUGAAGCAGCUAAACAAAGUAUAAAGGCACCUAGCCUAAACGUAUAAUAAAAAAUGCUUGCUGUACCACGGUUUAACAAAGAAAUGUACAAAGUACACUUGUUGGCGUGUCGACGGCGCCUGUAUUGUUGCAAUUAUUAUAUGAUCUUUGUUUUAAUGUAAUGGAAUAUAUGUGUUUGUUUACAGGCGCAAGUGUGUUUGUAACCACGAGAACAAUUGUUUAAAAAUAUGAAUAUAUCAUUUUACAUUCUUACAAUGGCGCAUUAAUAAAAUUUGUGUUGUUGUGUACUAGAAGUUUGUAGAGGAAUACGUGAUUGGUGAAAUAUGUCUAAUGAAAUAAUAUUUAAAUUAUACGUAGAGUAUCCAGCGCAAGACUGUUCUACUUUUAAAGGUUAAGCAGUUAACUUUAUGAAAUAUAUUUAUAAUCUAUAAUAAUAUUCGACACGAAUAGAUCAUAAUCGAAUUUGAUAUGACAAGCAUCAAUAAUCUUCAUUAAACAGGAUAUGUUAAUCUUAUCUGUUAAUUUUAAAUCCUAUUGUAGAUAUAUUAUCUAUGAUAGUGUUAAGUAGCGGGAUUAUUUUAUGAAAAUAAUCUGAACAGAAUUGAUUUAUAGAAGGUUUAAAAUUCGAACUCUCUGUUUCAACUAUACACCCUACAUGGGUUCAGCUUUUCUCGUUUGUUUUCUCCACAUAGUUCAAGCUGAAAAGUAUUAAAGAAAAUAGUAUAAAAUAAAUAAUUCAAAGACCUGUUGUAAUCCACACAUAACUCGGUAUUUGGCGUAGCUGUGGAUAGUACCGCGGUAUCUGGCCGGGUAUUAGUAUAUGGUCGCUGAGUGUGCCAAUUUGCACUUUGCACUAGGCGCGCAGCUAUUAAAUAGAUAAAUUCGCUACCUAUUCCGGUAAAAUAAUGCUUAUCUGCCUAUAUCUGAACAAGCUUUAGAUUAAGUAUAGUAUUUGCAGGAGAUUCGGAAUUACAUUCGUAUUCCAUGAAUUUUACAUAUAUCUUAAAAUAUAAAGUCAAUUUCGUGCUAAUAAUGAAUAAAAAAAAUAUAAUAAUUACAUAAACAGUUGGUAUCAGCUGAUUUAAAAUGAUUAUUUGAGAAUAGUAAUUAUAAAUAAAUAAUGGCAUUUCGAGUUGCUUCAAAUAAAUCUUAAAGAUAGAACAAUAAACACAUAAAGAGCAAUAAACUAUUAAGAAAUGUUUCCUACUUACCAUCUAUAUUUAUAGCCGAUUAUUUUUUUUAACAUUAAAUAUAACACAUUUGUAUUAAUAAAUUUAUAUACAUACCAAGUCAGAUAGAUCCAUCUAAUAAAGGACCCAGGACACGUAUACUUACGACUUGAGUAACAAUUUAAAGAAAAAAAUAUUUAGUAUAAUGAUUUACGUGAUAAAAACUAACAAACAAAUAUAAUUCAUUAUUUUUAACUGGACAGGAUGCCUUGAAAUUUGGCAAAUAAGGUAAUAAAGUAAUUUAUAUAACAGACAAGACACAAACACAUACUAAACUUCGAGUCCAAACUCUGCCAUUCAUUAAAAAAAUAACAAAUCAGUCCACAUACGGGAUAGUAAAGAUGAUCGAGGCAGAGAGCUCAUCAAAUUAUUAUACGAUACAUAAAUAAGGUAAUAAAGUAAUUUAUAUAACAGACAAGACACAAACACAUACUAAACUUCGAGUCCAAACUCUGCCAUUCAUUACAAAAUAACAAAUCAGUCCACAUACGGGAUAGUAAAGAUGAUCGAGGCAGAGAGCUCAUCAAAUUAUUAUACGAUACAUAAAUAAGGUAAUAAAGUAAUUUAUAUAACAGACAAGACACAAACACAUACUAAACUUCGAGUCCAAACUCUGCCAUUCAUUAAAAAAUAACAAAUCAGUCCACAUACGGGAUAGUAAAGAUGAUCGAGGCAGAGAGCUCAUCAAAUUAUUAUACGAUACAUAAAUAAGGUAAUAAAGUAAUUUAUAUAACAGACAAGACACAAACACAUACUAAACUUCGAGUCCAAACUCUGCCAUUCAUUAAAAAAUAACAAAUCAGUCCACAUACGGGAUAGUAAAGAUGAUCGAGGCAGAGAGCUCAUCAAAUUAUUAUACGAUACAUAAAUAAGGUAAUAAAGUAAUUUAUAUAACAGACAAGACACAAACACAUACUAAACUUCGAGUCCAAACUCUGCCAUUCAUUAAAAAAUAACAAAUCAGUCCACAUACGGGAUAGUAAAGAUGAUCGAGGCAGAGAGCUCAUCAAAUUAUUAUACGAUACAUAAAUACUUCUUAUUAACAUUAUACGUUUAAGUGUGAAAGUUAGUAAUGAUGUUUAGUUGUUUUUUGGACGCAAACAUAAACAAAAUUUUGUAUAAUUGUAAAGUGACCAGUAAGGCUGCAGUCUUUGAAACGUCAGGAGAAAAUUAUAAUAUAAAAAACAGCGAUUCAUAAAAAAAAAUUUGUUUCAAUGUCUAACAUUCGCGUGUUUACAUAGAUAGUGAUGUCAUAAAUUAGUACCUACUAAUUAGUGAACAUGGUUAAACUUUUCUACGUGUUUUUGUGAAAUAACGAAAUGACGAACCGUGUUAUCUAAGCACUCUUAAUAAUACCCUAAACAUCUAAAGAGGUUUGACGAAAGAGGUUUAUGCAUGAACAUAAACCAUAUGUAUUGUGAACACAAAUCUAGUUGGAAGGAAAAACAGUUUUCCUCAGGAUUUGGUUACAAGGGACAUCACGUCCGAGGCUAGGCAACUGUUUGUUUAUUCCGUGGACGUUAUCAUUUCUUCCUAAAUGAUCUGUCGAGCGUGACAUCAUUGUUUAUCGACAGAGAUUCGAUACUUCAAUAAAAUGAUACUCUUAUCAUAUUUUAUUGAGAUGUUCUAUUUUCGGAUAUGAUUUGAAUUGAAUUUCAGACUACAGAUGUAAGAUAUGAAAAUCAUUAUCAUUACUGAUAUCUAAACAAGUAAAUGAAAUUAAAGUAUUUGUCUGUUGUUUAGAAAGAAAGGCUUUUUCCUCAGGCCAUUUUCAUCAGUUACAUGUCGUACCUAAUAGUUAUACAUACAUAUUUUCUGUCUACAUGUGUGUCGGGGUAAAUUAUGAGCAAUUUGUUAUUUAUUAUUUAUAUUUCUCAUCGUUUAAACUUUCUCAGGACUUUCACAAAUAAUUCAAAACCAAAAUUAGCCAUAUCGGUCCAGCCGACGUCGAGUUUUAGCGAGACUAACGAACAGCAAUUGAUUUUUUAUAUAUAUAGAUAAAACAGGAAAGAAUAAACAUAACUUGAAAUUAUAUUUAGGACAAGCUAAAAUCCUGAUAUUAUUAAGACUUAUAUUUGCAAUCCGUAAUAAGUAAUGUUGUUUACGUAGAACUAUAUAAGUCUAUCAAUGAAGGCGCCGAAACUACAACUUUUACUCCGCCACUUAAGUUCCCGGUUGGUUACAGCAAUACGAAAA